CGCGUUGGGAGCUCUCCCAUAUGGUCGACCUGCAGGCGGCCGCGAAUUCACUAGUGAUUAGAGUUUGAUCAUGGCUCAGAACGAACGCUUUCGGUAUGCUUAACACAUGCAAGUCGAACGGAUUUAUUUAGAGCUUGCUUUAAAUAAAUUAGUGGCAGACGGGUGAGUAACACGUGGGAAUCUGCCCAUCAGUACGGAAUAACAUUUAGAAAUAAUUGCUAAUACCGUAUAUUCUCUUUGGAGGAAAGAUUUAUCGCUGAUGGAUGAGCCCGCGCCAGAUUAGGUAGUUGGUAGGGUAAUGGCCUACCAAGCCAAUGAUCUGUAGCUGGUUUGAGAGAAUGAUCAGCCACACUGGGACUGAGACACGGCCCAGACUCCUACGGGAGGCAGCAGUGGGGAAUAUUGGACAAUGGGCGAAAGCCUGAUCCAGCCAUGCCGCGUGUGUGAAGAAGGUCUUCGGAUUGUAAAGCACUUUAAGUUGGGAGGAAGGGCAGUAAGUUAAUACCUUGCUGUUUUGACGUUACCGACAGAAUAAGCACCGGCUAACUUCGUGCCAGCAGCCGCGGUAAAUCGAAUUCCCGCGGCCG
rnacentral:rRNA from 1 species